GAGAUAAUAAGGUCUGACUAGGACACAACUUUCAAGUCUCCGUGUCCUAGGGGCUCCAGGAGAAUACUGCAGCUGUAGUAUGGUAUUGAUGGCCUUGUUAUACCUGGCAUACUCAUCGUCUACAAAAGAAAUGAUAUCCUACAACAUCUGUAAACAUUCCACCUGCCAGGAUUCGCGGAGAAGCAUGCGCUGUGGCCUUGGUGUUGAAGGUAAACACCUCACUGGACGCUUCCCACGCCUCCAGUGUUGAAGGUGAACGCUUCCCACACCAUCAUCUUAGGGAAGAAAAAUGAGUCAGAAUUUGUCUUUUGAAAAAUCAAGUCCUAAUAUAAUCUACUUUCUUGGGAACGAA